rnacentral:rRNA from 1 species
UACGUAGGCAGCGAGCGUUGUUCGGAAUUACUGGGCGUAAAGGGCGCGUAGGCGGCCUGCUAAGUCGGAUGUGAAAUCCCUCGGCUCAACCGAGGAACUGCAUCCGAUACUGGCGGGCUUGAAUCCGGGAGAGGGAUGUGGAAUUCCAGGUGUAGCGGUGAAAUGCGUAGAUAUCUGGAGGAACACCGGUGGCGAAGGCGGCAUCCUGGACCGGUAUUGACGCUGAGGCGCGAAAGCUAGGGGAGCAAACGGG